rnacentral:rRNA from 1 species
AAACCAACAGGGAUUGCUCUAGUAACGGCGAGUGAAGCAGCAAUAGCUCAAAUUUGAAAUCUGGCGUCUUCGACGUCCGAGUUGUAAUUUGUAGAGGAUGCUUCGGGUGUGGUUCCGGUCUAAGUUCCUUGGAACAGGACGUCAUAGAGGGUGAGAAUCCCGUAUGUGACUGGAUACCUAUGCUCAUGUGAAGCUCUUUCGACGAGUCGAGUUGUUUGGGAAUGCAGCUCAAAAUGGGAGGUAUAUUUCUUCUAAAGCUAAAUAUUGGCCAGAGACCGAUAGCGCACAAGUAGAGUGAUCGAAAGAUGAAAAGCACUUUGGAAAGAGAGUUAAACAGUACGUGAAAUUGUUGAAAGGGAAGCGCUUGCAAUCAGACUUGCACUUGGUGUUCAUCAGGGUCUCGUACCCUGUGUACUUCAUCAAGUUCAGGCCAGCAUCAGUUUGAGUGGUUAGAUAAAGGCUUAGAGAAUGUGGCCCUCUUCGGGGGGUGUUAUAGCUCUAGGUGCAAUGUAGCCUACUUGGACUGAGGACCGCGCUUCGGCUAGGAUGCUGGCGUAAUGGUUGUAAGCGAC